rnacentral:snRNA from 1 species
GUGCUUGCUUCAGCAGCACAUAUACUAAAACUGGAACGAUACAGAGAAGAUUAGCAUGGCCCCUACGCAAGGAUGAUACGCAAAUUCGUGAAGCGUUCCAUAUUUUU